AAUCCAUGCAUGAGACACUUCCUAAGCAAAUCAUUGAACCUUUCCCAUGCUUCAUAUAGUGUUUCAUCCUCUAGUUGCUUGAAGAAUGUAAUGUCAUCUCCUAGUUU
rfam:Gossypium arboreum cultivar AKA8401 contig_2583_11, whole genome shotgun sequence.